GCCCAGCCAGUAUGGUGACUAUGACCCUCGGCUUGCAACCGAGUGGGUUCGGGUUCGAAUCCCGAGUAGGACA
rnacentral:tRNA from 1 species